CCUACGGGAGGCAGCAGUGGGGAAUAUUGCACAAUGGGGGAAACCCUGAUGCAGCGACGCCGCGUGAGUGAAGAAGUAAUUCGUUAUGUAAAGCUCUAUUAGCAGGGAAGAAAAUGACGGUACCUGAGUAAGAAGCCCUGGCUAACUACGUGCCAGCAGCCGUGGUACUACGGAGGGGGCAAGCGUUAUCCGGAUUUACUGGGUGUAAAGGGAGCGUAGACGGGAUGGCAAGUCUGGAGUGAAAGUCUGGGGCUCAACCUCCGGACUGCUAUUGAAACUGUACGGCUGGAGUGCAGGAGAGGUAAGUGGAAUUCGUGGUGUAGCGGUGAAAUGCGUAGAUAUUAGGAGGAACACCAGUGGCGAAGGCAGCUUACUGGACUGUAACUGACAUUGAGGCUCGAAAGCGUGGGGAGCAAACAGGAUUAGAUACCCGAGUAGUC
rnacentral:rRNA from 1 species